rnacentral:lncRNA from 1 species
UUUCUUGUCUAAACAAGUCAAAGCUGAAGGAUCAUCUCAUAAAAUAGGCACAGAAUCUGGUUCACUGCUGUUUUGAAGUCAGGUGUUCAGACUGGGAUUUCUAAAGGGCAUAUAUAUAAAACUUAUAUCACAAUAAAGCCUCUCCUCUGGUAAUAUAAAUAGAGCAGUAAUUUUAAAUUUGUAAGCACAGAUAUAUACAUGUAUUAUUAUAUAAAAUAGUUGUUAUUGUCUUCUUCUGCAGGAUUUGCAUCUUCUUAGUGAUUAAGGAACAGAGAACAGAUGAGCUCUCUUGAGGCCAAAUUUAAUUUCUGAGAUUUAUUUGACCUGAGGACAAUUUGGCACAAAAUAGGCAAGAAAAGUGAAGAAUGCCAUUGGUGGUUAUCAAAAAGGAAAGAUCUCUCAGAAUACAGAAACCAUCCUCCUUUGUACACCAGGAGCUGCAGUCCACAGCUGAGCUCUCAUGAAAAGUUUCAGAUGCCUGGUCAGGGCUAUGUGAAGUGUUUCAUAAUCAGAAGACUCAGAUGAUGAACCUGACCUUUACAAGCAGAGCUGGAUUUUAAUUUCCUCUUCACCUUUGGGGAAUUCUGAUAUAUCAAGAUUUUGGUCCCAGCUGUAACAAAGGUGUCAUGGCCAAGUAUAACAUUUGCAUGAAG